rnacentral:lncRNA from 1 species
GUCGUCUCCGACGUUACGGCGGCCGCGCGGCCCUCUCCCUUGGGCUCUGCCCUGCGCAGCCCUGGUUCGAGCGGGCCAGUGAGGCCCGGCGCCCUCCCCGCCUCGCCACGAGGAUCCACCGCGGCCGCCCAGGCUUCUAGCCUUGUCGUCACGGCACGGAGAUAAGCCCGCGCUGGCCACAUCGCGAAGCCCCUGUUCGUACUGAGACCCCGCCCGGGAUCACGCGCACAGGCCAGGGCGCACCAGGCCUUGGAGAAGCUACCGGCACAGCCCAUUCCUUGGGCGAGUUGCUUCGCCUCUCCUGCCUCAGUUUCCUUACCUGUCAAGGGGUGGUCAUAGGACGUCCUUGGUCACACCGUUGUGGGACCCACCUGGGCUAGAGCGCGGGACGCGCCCAGGACAGUGACUGCUGCUGGAAGCCGUCAUGGCACUCCCCAGGGUCCGGGAGGGACUUGCAGAUCCCAAGGCUACCUGGUGCGUCCCCGUGCCCCGUGGGCCGCCAGGUCAUAGUGCCCCCUGUGUGCAUUCCCCUAGUGCACCGCAGGGAUCCCCACCUGUCCGGUGAGGAAGAUUUGUCCCUCCUGCAUACUGUGUCCACCCUUACAGGCCCUCACUCUCCAUGAUGGCUCAGCACAGGUGACUAUCCUGACCUCCUCACAUCCCUCCUUCUUCGAGAGGGUUCUGGCGUUUCUCUCUGCUCCCUGGUGCGUGUCUUCUCAUGGUGCACUGCCGAGUCCUUUAAGAAGCUAUGCUUCCCUGUCAUGCGUCCAGGACAGCCCCUUGAACCCCUCCUGGGUCCGCAUCUCUCAUCACCCCUGCUUCUUUACGUACUGACUUGGCUUUGUUUGUGCUUUGACUCCCCAGGAGAAAGUGGGCUUCCUGCAAGCGGAGCUGUGCCCAGGACCAUGCCAGCCCACGGCAGGCGCUCAGUAAUGUUUGUUGAAUGAAUGUGUAAAUGCAUGAAGAUAAUAUAUGUAUUUAAUGCAUGUAAAUAGAUGCCUGCUGCAUCUCUG